UCGAUGCAACGCGAAAAACCUUACCUACCCUUGACAUGUCAAGAAUCCCUAAGAGAUUAGGGAGUGCCGCAAGGAACUUGAACACAGGUGCUGCAUGGCUGUCGUCAGCUCGUGUCGUGAGAUGUUGGGUUAAGUCCCGCAACGAGCGCAACCCUUGUCAUUAGUUGCCAUCAUUUAGUUGGGCACUCUAAUGAGACUGCCGGUGACAAACCGGAGGAAGGUGGGGAUGACGUCAAGUCCUCAUGGCCCUUAUGGGUAGGGCUUCACACGUCAUACAAUGGUCGGUACAGAGGGUCGCUAACCCGCGAGGGGGUGCCAAUCUCAGAAAGCCGAUCGUAGUCCGGAUCGUAGUCUGCAACUCGACUACGUGAAGUCGGAAUCGCUAGUAAUCGCGGAUCAGAAUGCCGCGGUGAAUACGUUCCCGGGUCUUGUACACACCGCCCGUCACACCAUGGGAGUGGGUUUCACCAGAAGUAGCUAGCCUAACCGUAAGGGGGGCGGUUACCACGGUGAGAUUCAUGACUGGGGUGAAGUCGUAACAAGGUAGCCGUACCGGAAGG
rnacentral:rRNA from 1 species